CGUAUCCAACCUGCCCACCACUUGGGGAUAACCUUGCGAAAGUAAGACUAAUACCCAAUGACGUCUCUAGAAGACAUCUGAAGGAGAUUAAAGAUUUAUCGGUGAUGGAUGGGGAUGCGUCUGAUUAGCUUGUUGGCGGGGUAACGGCCCACCAAGGCUACGAUCAGUAGGGGUUCUGAGAGGAAGGUCCCCCACAUUGGAACUGAGACACGGUCCAAACUCCUACGGGAGGCAGCAGUGAGGAAAUAUUGGUCAAUGGACGAGAGUCUGAACCAGCCAAGUAGCGUGCAGGAUGACGGCCCUAUGGGUUGUAAACUGCUUUUAUAAGGGAAUAAAGUGAGUCUCGUGAGACUUUUUGCAUGUACCUUAUGAAUAAGGACCCGGCUAAAUUCCGUGCCAGCAGCCGCGGUAAUACGGAAGGUCCGGGCGUUAUCCGGAUUUAUUGGGUUUAAAGGGAGCGUAGGCCGGAGAUUAAGCGUGUUGUGAAAUGUAGAUGCUCAACAUCUGAACUGCAGCGCGAACUGGUUUCCUUGAGUACGCACAAAGUGGGCGGAAUUCGUGGUGUAGCGGUGAAAUGCUUAGAUAUCACGAAGAACUCCGAUUGCGAAGGCAGCUCACUGGAGCGCAACUGACGCUGAAGCUCGAAAGUGCGGGUAUCGAACAGGAU
rnacentral:rRNA from 1 species